GCAGUCGAACGGAAGUCGUUGUAAUGAAAUGGAAAUGGACAGAGAACUUGUCUCGAAGAAAGUUGAAGUAGACUUACAACAAUGGCUUUAGUGGCGGACUGGUGAGUAACGCGUAAGGAACCUGCCUUUUAGAGGGGAAUAACAAUGAGAAAUCAUUGCUAAUACCGCAUAUGCCGAGAGAAUCACAUGGUACAAUCGGGAAAGGAGCAAUCCGCUAAAAGAUGGCCUUGCGUCUGAUUAGAUAGUUGGUGGGGUAACGGCCUACCAAGUCGACGAUCAGUAGCCGGACUGAGAGGUUGAACGGCCACAUUGGGACUGAGAUACGGCCCAGACUCCUACGGGAGGCAGCAGUCGGGAAUAUUGCGCAAUGGAGGAAACUCUGACGCAGUGACGCUGCGUAUAGGAAGAAGGUUUUCGGAUUGUAAACUAUUGUCGUUAGGGAAGAGAAAGGACAGUACCUAAGGAGGAAGCUCCGGCUAACUACGUGCCAGCAGCCGCGGUAAUACGUAGGGAGCGAGCGUUAUCCGGAAUUAUUGGGUGUAAAGGGUGCGUAGACGGGAAGAUAAGUUAGUUGUGAAAUCCCUCGGCUUAACUGAGGAACUGCAACUAAAACUGUUUUUCUUGAGUGCAGGAGAGGUAAGUGGAAUUCCUAGUGUAGCGGUGAAAUG
rnacentral:rRNA from 1 species